GAAAUGCGAUAAGUAAUGUGAAUUGCAGAAUUCAGUGAAUCAUCGAAUCUUUGAACGCAGAUUGCGCCCGCCAGUAUUCUGGCGGGCAUGCCUGUUCGAGCGUCAUUUCAACCAUCAAGCCCCCGGGCUUGUGUUGGGGACCUGCGGCUGCCGCAGGCCCCGAAAACCAGUGGCGGGCUCGCUGUCACACCGGGCGUAGUAGAUUUUUCGUCUCGCCCAGGGCGUGCUGCGGGUUCCGGCCGUUAAAAAGCCUCUCUUUUAACCCAAGGUUGACCUCGGAUCAGGUAGGAAGACCCGCUGAACUUAAGC
rnacentral:misc_RNA from 1 species